rnacentral:rRNA from 1 species
CAAUAGCGUAUAUUAAAGUUGUUGCAGUUAAAAGCUCGUAGUUGGACUUCUGAUGUGGAGGGACGGUCCGCCUCACGGUGAGCACUGAUUCUUCACGUCUUCCUCUCGUAGUCUUUUGGCGCACUUAGUUGGGUGCCUUUAGAAUAUGGGACCUUUACUUUGAAAAAAUUAGAGUGUUCAAAGCAGGCCUAUGCUCUGAAUAGGUUAGCAUGGAAUAAUAAAAUAGGACUUUGGUUCUAUUUUGUUGGUUUCUAGGACCGAAGUAAUGAUUAAUAGGGACAGUUGGGGGCAUUCAUAUUCCAAUGUCAGAGGUGAAAUUCUUGGAUUAUCGGAAGAUGAACUUCUGCGAAAGCAUCUGCCAAGGAUGUUUUCAUUGAUCAAGAACGAAAGUUAGGGGAUCGAAGAUGAUCAGAU